rnacentral:rRNA from 1 species
AUUGAACGCUGGCGGCAGGCCUAACACAUGCAAGUCGAGCGAGCGGCGGACGGGUGAGUAAUGUCUGGGGAUCUGCCUGAUGGAGGGGGAUAACUACUGGAAACGGUAGCUAAUACCGCAUACCAUCAGAUGUACCCAGAUGGGAUUAGCUAGUUGGUGGGGUAACGGCUCACCUAGGCGACGAGCCCUAGCUGGUCUGAGAGGAGGAUCAGCCACACUGGAACUGAGAAACGGCCCAGACUCCGACGGGAGGCAGCAGUGGGGAAUAUUGCACAAUGGGCGCAAGCAUGAUGCAGCCAUGCCGCGUGUAUGAAGAAGGCCUUCGGGUUGUAAAGUACUUUCAGUGGGGAGGCGUUACCCGCAGAAGAAGCACCGGCUAACUCCGUGCCAGCAGCCGCGGUAAUAC